rnacentral:rRNA from 1 species
GACGAACGCUGGCGGCGUGCUUAACACAUGCAAGUCGAACGGAAAGGCCCUGCUUUUGUGGGGUGCUCGAGUGGCGAACGGGUGAGUAACACGUGAGUAACCUGCCCUUGACUUUGGGAUAACUUCAGGAAACUGGGGCUAAUACCGGAUAGGAGCUCCUGCUGCAUGGUGGUGGUUGGAAAGUUUCGGCGGUUGGGGAUGGACUCGCGGCUUAUCAGCUUGUUGGUGGGGUAGUGGCUUACCAAGGCUUGGACGGGUAGCCGGCCUGGGAGGGUGACCGGCCAAAUUGGGACUGAGAUAGGGCCCAGACUCCUACGGGAGGCAGCAGUGGGGAAUAUUGCACAAUGGGCGGAAGCCUGAUGCAGCAACGCGGCGUGCGGGAUGACGGCCUUCGGGUUGUAAACCGCUUUCGCCGGUGACGAAGCGUGAGUGACGGUAAUGGGUAAAGAAGCACCGGCUAACUACGUG